rnacentral:rRNA from 1 species
UACGUAGGGGGCAAGCGUUAUCCGGAUUCACUGGGUGUAAAGGGAGCGUAGACGGCGACGCAAGUCUGGAGUGAAAGCCCGGGGCCCAACCCCGGGACUGCUCUGGAAACUGCGGCGCUGGAGUACGGGAGGGGCAGGCGGAAUUCCUGGUGUAGCGGUGAAAUGCGUAGAUAUCAGGAAGAACACCGGCGGCGAAGGCAGCCUGCUGGACCGUGACUGACGUUGAGGCUCGAGAGCGUGGGGAGCAAACAGG